CACGUAGGGCGCAAGCGUUGUCCGGAAUUAUUGGGCGUAAAGAGCUCGUAGGCGGUCUGUUACGUCUGCUGUGAAAACCCAGGGCUUAACCCUGGGCUUGCAGUGGAUACGGGCAGACUAGAGGCAGGUAGGGGAGAAUGGAAUUCCCGGUGUAGCGGUGAAAUGCGCAGAUAUCGGGAGAAACACCGGUGGCGAAGGCGGUUCGCUGGGCCUGACCUGACGCUGAGGAGCGAAAGCGUGGGGAGCGAACAGG
rnacentral:rRNA from 1 species